rnacentral:rRNA from 1 species
UGGGGUAUAUUGGACAAUGGGCGAAAGCCUGCUCCAGCCAUGCCGCGUGUGUGAAGAAGGUCUUCGGAUUGUAAAGCACUUUAAGUUGGGAGGAAGGGCAGUAAGCGAAUACCUUGCUGCUUUGACGUUACCGACAGAAUAAGCACCGGCUAACUCUGUGCCAGCAGCCGCGGUAAUACAGAGGGUGCAAGCGUUAAUCGGAAUUACUGGGCGUAAAGCGCGCGUAGGUGGUUCGUUAAGUUGAAUGUGAAAGCCCCGGGCUCAACCUGGGAACUGCAUCCACAACUGGCGAGCUAGAGUAGGGCAGAGGGUGGUGGAAUUUCCUGUGUAGCGGUGAAAUGCGUAGAUAUAGGAAGGAACACCAGUGGCGAAGGCGACCACCUGGGCUCAUACUGACACUGAGGUGCGAAAGCGUGGGGAGCAAACAUG